AGGUUAAGUUAACAAGGGCGCAUGGUGAAUGCCUUGGCACUAGGAGCCGAUGAAGGACGGGACUAACACCGAUAUGCUUCGGGGAGCUGUACGUAAGCUAUGAUCCGGAGAUUUCCGAAUGGGGCAACCCAGCAGUUUUAAUCAACUGUUACCACUAGAUGAAUUCAUAGUCUAGUUGGAGGUAAACGCUGUGAACUGAAACAUCUCAUUAGCAGCAGGAAUAUAAAGAAAUUUCGAUUCCCUAAGUAGCGGCGAGCGAACGGGGAACAGCCCAAACCAAAGUGCUUGCACUUUGGGGUUGUAGGACUGAACAUUUGAGUUACCAAAGAACUUGAUAGUCGAAGGAUUUGGGAAAAUCCGCCAUAGAUGGUGAUAGCCCAGUAGAUUAAAUCAAAUUCUCUCAGUUCAGGAUCCUGAGUACGGCGGAACACGUGAAAUUCCGUCGGAAUCCGGGAGGACCAUUUCCCAAGGCUAAAUACUACCUAGUGACCGAUAGUGAACCAGUACCGUGAGGGAAAGGUGAAAAGCACCCCGGGAGGGGAGUGAAAUAGUUCCUGAAACCAUGUGCCUACAAUAAGUCAGAGCGCGUUAAUGCGUGAUGGCGUGCCUUUUGUAGAAUGAACCGGCGAGUUAUGAUCCCGUGCAAGGUUAAGACUAAAAAGUCGGAGCCGUAGCGAAAGCGAGUCUGAAAUGGGCGUUUUGAGUACGAGGUUAUAGACCCGAAACCAGGUGACCUAUCCAUGUCCAGGUUGAAGGUGCGGUAAAACGCACUGGAGGACCGAACCCGUGUAAGUUGAAAAUUGCUGGGAUGAGGUGUGGAUAGCGGUGAAAUUCCAAACGAACUUGGAGAUAGCUGGUUCUCUCCGAAAUAGCUUUAGGGCUAGCCUCGGAAUUAGGAUCAUGGAGGUAGAGCACUAUUUGGACUAGGGGCCCGUCUUGGGUUACUGAAUUCAGAUAAACUCCGAAUGCCAUUGAUUCAUAUCCGGGAGUCAGACGAUGAGUGAUAAGAUCCACCGUCGAAAGGGGAACAGCCCAGACCAUCAGUUAAGGUCCCUAAAUGUAUGCUAAGUGGAAAAGGAUGUGGAGUUGCAUAGACAACUAGGAUGUUGGCUCAGAAGCAGCCACCAUUUAAAGAGUGCGUAAUAGCUCACUAGUCGAGUGAUCCUGCGCCGAAAAUGUACCGGGGCUAAGCAUACUACCGAAACCAUGGAUGCGACCAUUAGGUCGCGUGAUAGGAGAGCGUUCUAAGGGCGGUGAAGCAAGAUCGUGAGGACUUGUGGAGCGCUUAGAAGUGAGAAUGCCGGUAUGAGUAGCGAAAGAUAGGUGAGAAUCCUAUCCACCGAAUGACUAAGGUUUCCUGGGGAAGGCUCGUCCUCCCAGGGUUAGUCGGGACCUAAGUCGAGGCCGAGAGGCGUAGACGAUGGAUAACAGGUUGAGAUUCCUGUACUAGUUAAGUGCGUUUGAGCAAUGGAGGGACGCAGGAGGCUAAGAUGUGCAUUCUGUUGGAUUAGAAUGUCCAAGCAGUAAGUCUUGUGAAGAGUCAAAUGCUUUUCACUUUAAGGACAAGCUGUGAUGGGGAGCGAAAUUUAGUAGCGAAGCGUCUGAUGUCACACUGCCGAGAAAAGCUUCUAGUGAGUACUUAACUACCCGUACCGCAAACCGACACAGGUAGUCGAGGAGAGAAUCCUAAGGUGAGCGAGUGAACUCUCGUUAAGGAACUCGGCAAAAUGACCCCGUAACUUCGGGAGAAGGGGUGCUGAUCGCAAGAUCAGCCGCAGUGAAUAGGCCCAGGCGACUGUUUAUCAAAAACACAGGUCUCUGCAAAAUCGUAAGAUGACGUAUAGGGGCUGACGCCUGCCCGGUGCUGGAAGGUUAAAAGGAUGGGUUAGCUUCGGCGAAGCUCAGAAUUGAAGCCCCAGUAAACGGCGGCCGUAACUAUAACGGUCCUAAGGUAGCGAAAUUCCUUGUCGGGUAAGUUCCGACCCGCACGAAAGGCGUAACGAUCUGGGCACUGUCUCAACGAGAGACUCGGUGAAAUUAUAUUGUCCGUGAAGAUGCGGACUACCCGCGACAGGACGGAAAGACCCCAUGGAGCUUUACUGUAGCUUGAUAUUGAGUGUUUGUACAGCUUGUACAGGAUAGGUAGGAGCCAUAGAAACCGGAACGCUAGUUUCGGUGGAGGCGUUGGUGGGAUACUACCCUCGCUGUAUGACCACUCUAACCCGCACCACUAAUCGUGGUGGGAGACAGUGUCAGGUGGGCAGUUUGACUGGGGCGGUCGCCUCCUAAAAAGUAACGGAGGCGCCCAAAGGUUCCCUCAGAAUGGUUGGAAAUCAUUCGCAGAGUGUAAAGGCACAAGGGAGCUUGACUGCGAGACAGACAGGUCGAGCAGGGACGAAAGUCGGGCUUAGUGAUCCGGUGGUACCGUAUGGAAGGGCCAUCGCUCAACGGAUAAAAGCUACCCUGGGGAUAACAGGCUUAUCUCCCCCAAGAGUCCACAUCGACGGGGAGGUUUGGCACCUCGAUGUCGGCUCAUCGCAUCCUGGGGCUGUAGUCGGUCCCAAGGGUUGGGCUGUUCGCCCAUUAAAGCGGUACGCGAGCUGGGUUCAGAACGUCGUGAGACAGUUCGGUCCCUAUCCGUCGCGGGCGUAGGAAAUUUGAGAGGACCUGUCCUUAGUACGAGAGGACCGGGAUGGACAUACCUCUGGUGUACCAGUUGUGCCGCCAGGCGCAUCGCUGGGUAGCUACGUAUGGAUGUGAUAAACGCUGAAAGCAUCUAAGUGUGAAACACACCUCGAGAUGAGAUUUCCCAUUCCUUUAUGGAAGUAAGACCCCUGAAAGAUGAUCAGGUAGAUAGGUUAGAAGUGGCAGUGCGGUGACGCAUGAAGCGGACUAAUACUAAUCGGUCGAGGACUUAACCAAG
rnacentral:rRNA from 2 species